rnacentral:rRNA from 1 species
UACGUAGGGUGCAAGCGUUGUCCGGAAUUACUGGGCGUAAAGCGCGCGCAGGCGGUCUUCCAAGUCAGUGGUGAAAGCCUGGAGCUCAACUCCAGAACUGCCAUUGAAACUGUUAGACUUGAGUACGAGAGAGGUGAGUGGAAUUCCCAGUGUAGAGGUGAAAUUCGUAGAUAUUGGGAAGAACACCGGUGGCGAAGGCGGCUCACUGGCUCAUUACUGACGCUCAGGCGCGAUAGCGUGGGGAUCAAACAGG